AACUCGACUACAUGAAGCUGGAUCGCUGGUAAUCGCGGAUCAGAAUGCCGCGGUGAAUACGUUCCCGGGUCUUGUACACACCGCCCGUCACACCAUGGGAGUCAGUAACGCCCGAAGCCGGUGACCCAACCUAUUCUGGAGGGAGCCGUCGAAGGCGGGACGGAUGACUGGGGUGAAGUCGUAACAAGGUAAC
rnacentral:rRNA from 1 species